rnacentral:rRNA from 1 species
CACGGGGGGAGCAAGCGUUGUUCGGAAUCACUGGGCGUAAAGCGUGCGUAGACGGUUAUGUAAGUCGGGUGUGAAAGCCCCGGGCUCAACCUGGGAAUUGCAUUCGAGACUGCAUAGCUAGGGUGCGGAAGAGGGAAGCGGAAUUUCCGGUGUAGCGGUGAAAUGCGUAGAUAUCGGAAGGAACAUCAGUGGCGAAAGCGGCUUCCUGGUCCAGCACCGACGUUCAGGCACGAAAGCGUGGGGAGCAAACAGG